rnacentral:rRNA from 1 species
GACGAACGCUGGCGGCGUGCUUAACACAUGCAAGUCGAGCGGAAAGGCCCUUCGGGGUACUCGAGCGGCGAACGGGUGAGUAACACGUGAGUAAUCUGCCCUUGGCUUUGGGAUAACUACCGGAAACGGUGGCUAAUACCGGAUACGACGCACUCAGGCAUCUGAUGUGUGUGGAAAGUUUUUCGGCCAGGGAUGUGCUCGCGGCCUAUCAGCUUGUUGGUGGGGUAAUGGCCUACCAAGGCUUCGACGGGUAGCCGGCCUGAGAGGGUGACCGGCCACACUGGGACUGAGACACGGCCCAGACUCCUACGGGAGGCAGCAGUGGGGAAUAUUGGACAAUGGGCGGAAGCCUGAUCCAGCAACGCGCGUGAGGGAUGACGGCCUCGG